ACGGAAGGCAGCAGUGGGGAAUCUUGCACAAUGGGCGAAAGCCUGAUGCAGCGACGCCGCGUGCGGGACGAAGGCCUUCGGGUUGUAAACCGCUUUCAGCAGGGACGAGGCCGCAAGGUGACGGUACCUGCAGAAGAAGCCCCGGCUAACUACGUGCCAGCAGCCGCGGUAAUACGUAGGGGGCGAGCGUUAUCCGGAUUCAUUGGGCGUAAAGCGCGCGUAGGCGGCCUGCUAGGUCGGGACUCAAAUCCGGGGGCUCAACCCCCGCCCGGUCCCGAUACCGACAGGCUUGAGUCUGGUAGGGGAAGGCGGAAUUCCAAGUGUAGCGGUGGAAUGCGCAGAUAUUUGGAAGAACACCGGUGGCGAAGGCGGCCUUCUGGGCCACGACUGACGCUGAGGCGCGAAAGCUAGGGGAGCGAACAGGAUUAGAUACCCUGGUA
rnacentral:rRNA from 1 species